AGCGGCGGAUGGGUGAGUAACACGUGGGGAACCUGCCCCUAAGUCUGGGAUACCAUUUGGAAACAGGUGCUAAUACCGGAUAAUAAAGCAGAUCGCAUGAUCAGCUUUUGAAAGGCGGCGUAAGCUGUCGCUAAGGGAUGGCCCCGCGGUGCAUUAGCUAGUUGGUAAGGUAACGGCUUACCAAGGCGACGAUGCAUAGCCGAGUUGAGAGACUGAUCGGCCACAUUGGGACUGAGACACGGCCCAAACUCCUACGGGAGGCAGCAAUAGGGAAUCUUCCACAAUGGACGCAAGUCUGAUGGAGCAACGCCGCGUGAGUGAAGAAGGUUUUCGGAUCGUAAAGCUCUGUUGUUGGUGAAGAAGGAUAGAGGUAGUAACUGGCCUUUAUUUGACGGUAAUCAACCAGAAAGUCACGGCUAACUACGUGCCAGCAGCCGCGGUAAUACGUAGGUGGCAAGCGUUGUCCGGAUUUAUUGGGCGUAAAGCGAGCGCAGGCGGAAAAAUAAGUCUAAUGUGAAAGCCCUCGGCUUAACCGAGGAACUGCAUCGGAAACUGUUUUUCUUGAGUGCAGAAGAGGAGAGUGGAACUCCAUGUGUAGCGGUGGAAUGCGUAGAUAUAUGGAAGAACACCAGUGGCGAAGGCGGCUCUCUGGUCUGCAACUGACGCCGAGGCUCGAAAGCAUGGGUAGCGAACAGGAUUAGAUACCCUGGUAGUCCAUGCCGUAAACGAUGAGUGCUAAGUGU
rnacentral:rRNA from 1 species